CCCCAUCCACAAUUGAUGAUACUGAAGAGCUGACCACUGAGAGCAAGUGCAUCCAUACAGCUGUCAGCCACCCAAAUCAGACCAGUCCAGAGCUCGGCCCUCUCACCAAGGCCCUUGAUGACAAAUUGGCUCCAAACAUUUGUGGUGCCACAAAUCCCCCAUCCACAAUUGAUGAUACUGAAGAGCUGACCACUGAGAGCAAGUGCAUCCAUAC